AUUGAACGCUGGCGGCAGGCCUAACACAUGCAAGUCGAACGGUAACAGGAAGAAGCUUGCUUCUUUGCUGACGAGUGGCGGACGGGUGAGUAAUGUCUGAGAAACUGCCUGAUGGAGGGGGAUAACUACUGGAAACGGUAGCUAAUACCGCAUAACGUCGCAAGACCAAAGAGGGGGACCUUCGGGCCUCUUGCCAUCGGAUGUGCCCAGAUGGGAUUAGCUAGUAGGUGGGGCAACGGCUCACCUAGGCGACGAUCCCUAGCUGGUCUGAGAGGAUGACCAGCCACACUGGAACUGAGACACGGUCCAGACUCCUACGGGAGGCAGCAGUGGGGAAUAUUGCACAAUGGGCGCAAGCCUGAUGCAGCCAUGCCGCGUGUAUGAAGAAGGCCUUCGGGUUGUAAAGUACUUUCAGCGGGGAGGAAGGGAGUAAAGUUAAUACCUUUGCUCAUUGACGUUACCCGCAGAAGAAGCACCGGCUAACUCCGUG
rnacentral:rRNA from 1 species